rnacentral:tRNA from 1 species
GGGGCGGUAGCCAAGGUGGUCACGGCACCGGUCUGAAAAACCGGCGAUGUGGGUUCGACUCCCACCCUCCCCACCA